UUCUGGGAGGGUUGACAGAUCCAGAGCUCUUUCUUGAUUCUGUGGAUUUCGGUGCAUGUCCGUUCUUAGUUGUUGAAGUGGUUUGUCUGGUUAAUUCCGAUAACAAACGAGACUCUAGUCAAUCAAAUACGUGCGUGGUCCUCUGCACCUUGCACCCUUCUCAGAAGGAGAAGCGGCUCCUAUACUUCGUCUCUCCUUAUUAUAUAUAGACGCUUUCAGGCAGCUGUGCAUGGGCGCCGCCAUAAGCGACCUUCAGUUUUUGUUUCCUCUUAUUCCGUUCGAUCCACUUCAUCAUUACCACAGCAGGACAGGUAAUUGCCAUUUCAGAUUCUACCGUGUCCUUCUCCCCAGCACAGGCCUUUGUGGAGACUCGUCAACGCCCGCUUCAGUCGCUCGACAUCUCGGUAAGACAAGAGAAGGUCGGCUAUGGCGGCUGAAUUUGGCGCGCGCUGAAAGCGUCUAUAUAUGGACUACUGUUAGCCGCGCGUGCUCAAAGCGCGAGCUAGUCGCUUUGAAUGAAGUCACGGCGGCAACACGAGCGCUCGUGCAGCGAGUGCUCUAGUCAAGGCAGUCAAGGCUGGCCGCUCACGCUAACACAGCCUUCGCGGUUAGUUCAUGCUAGGGUGAGACGAGGUAUAGCUAUAGCCGCACGAAACAGAGCAAUAAAAGGUCCGUGAUUCCCUUAGAU
rnacentral:rRNA from 1 species